rnacentral:rRNA from 1 species
CUACACAUGCAGUCGAGCGGGAUUUACCGGCUUAGUUUACUAAGUUGGUAAAUUCAGCGGCGGACGGGUGAGUAACGCGUGAGCAAUCUGCCUUGUACAGGGGGAUAACAGCCGGAAACGGCUGCUAAUACCGCAUAAGGCCACAGUACCGCAUGGUACAGGGGUCAAAGGAGAGAUCCGGUAUAAGAUGAGCUCGCGUUCCAUUAGCUGGUUGGUGAGGUAACGGCCCACCAAGGCGACGAUGGGUAGCCGGCCUGAGAGGGUGAACGGCCACAUUGGGACUGAGGCACGGCCCAAACUCCUACGGGAGGCAGCAGUGGGGGAUAUUGCGCAAUGGGGGAAACCCUGACGCAGCAACGCCGCGUGAGUGAAGGAGGCCUUCGGGUCGUAAAACUCUGUGACAGGGGAAGAAGAAAGUGACGGUACCCUGAGAGGAAGCCCCGGCUAACUACGUGCCAGCAGCCGCGGUAAUACGUAGGGGGCAAGCGUUGUCCGGAAUUACUGGGCGUAAAGGGUGCGUAGGCGGCCAGGCAAGUCCGAUGUGAAAUACCACGGCUAAACUGUGGGGGUGCAUAGGAAACUGUCUGGCUUGAGUGCAGGAGAGGAAAGUGGAAUUCCUGGUGUAGCGGUGAAAUGCGUAGAGAUCAGGAAGAACACCAGUGGCGAAGGCGACUUUCUGGACUGUAACUGACGCUGAGGCACGAAAGCGUGGGGAGCAAACAGGAUUAGAUACCCUGGUA